AAAAUGAUAAUAAUAAUGGUUUGGUCUUAACUCCGCCCACUUGGUCAAUUAUUCUGUAAUUGUGUUUGUGGGCGGAGCUAAUCUUCAGAGGAAGAGAGCCAGACCUGAAGUCAACCAGGAGUCAAGAUUUACAUGAAGGUAACGAGAGAGACAGAACGAGAAGAAACCACGAAAAGAGGCGAAGAGAGGAGCAGCGCCAUCCGGAGGCCGACUGACCCAAGAAUCACCGGGAUUCCUCAUCACCUCAUUUCCCAGGAAGAGGACAAGAACUGAGAAUCAUGAAUGAUCGACAGAAGAGCCUCAAAGCAGCAAAUAGAUUCAGAUGAAGGAGACGCUUCAUGAUCUUCAUUCAGAACCAAAACGCUCCAGAUGACGUUACAGAACGUCCUGAAACUGGCAGGAAGUCCAGCUCAUAAGUCAUGAAACCAAAACUAAUAAGAGAAGAUUUACAGAUCAGCAGGUGUGAAAAUGAACGGCCUCGCCCGCGCUGCGCUCUUCUGGAAGUGAAAUUCAGAGAGUUAUGAUUUCUUCACAUGUAGUGCUGAACACUCAGAUAUGUACACGUCCCAGUUCAGGGUCACAUGGAUGUUGAUCAAAACUCUUCUGAUGUCCAUGAUGAGGACAGAGAUGCAACUGUAAAAAUGUUUUCAGUUGAUCCAGGUGUUGGUCAAGGAAGAUGCAGGACCAAGAGCUCUCGAAGAGGGCUGCUGGAACGCUGCUGGAACGCUGCUGGGAACGCCACUGGGAACGCCACUGGGAACGCCACUGGGAACGCUGCUGGGAACGCUGCUGGGAACAGCGCU